CCCUAUGGGGCGCAGCAGGCGCGAAACCUCUGCAAUAGGCGAAAGCUUGACAGGGUUACUCUGAGUGAUUUCCGUUAAGGAGAUCUUUUGGCACCUCUAAAAAUGGUGCAGAAUAAGGGGUGGGCAAGUCUGGUGUCAGCCGCCGCGGUAAUACCAGCACCCCGAGUGGUCGGGACGUUUAUUGGGCCUAAAGCAUCCGUAGCCGGUUCUACAAGUCUUCCGUUAAAUCCACCUGCUUAACAGAUGGGCUGCGGAAGAUACUAUAGAGCUAGGAGGCGGGAGAGGCAAGCGGUACUCGAUGGGUAGGGGUAAAAUCCGUUGAUCCAUUGAAGACCACCAGUGGCGAAGGCGGCUUGCCAGAACGCGCUCGACGGUGAGGGAUGAAAGCUGGGGGAGCAAACCGGAUUAGAUACCCGGGUAGUCCCAGCUGUAAACGAUGCAGACUCGGUGAUGAAUUGGCUUAUUGCUAAUUCAGUGCCGCAGGGAAGCCGUUAAGUUUGCCGCCUGGGGAGUACGGUCGCAAGACUGAAACUUAAAGGAAUUGC
rnacentral:rRNA from 1 species